UUUUUAAGAAAGUGCAAUAAGUUGAGUUGACGCUAAGAGUUCUAGGCGGGGAGAGGCGUUUGGGGAAGAAGAGGAUCAGAUAUUUGUGUGAGCAACCUUCUUAAACUAAGCACUCUUGCGUGAGUGACUUUCUUACACCAAACACUCAUGCAAAGUGAUUAUGUGGUGUGCACAUAAUGUGGAUGGUGUCCUGUGGAUGACCGAUGCAACAAGAAACAAAUUAGGAAACUUCCUAGACGAUGUUGUGGAUGGAGUGAACAUCAUAGUAGCUCAAUCACAAGAUACUAGUGAGAGUGAAUCGCAGUAUAGGCUUGGCGAGGGGAAGGAUAUUCAUGUUCGUGGUAGAAAGGAAUAAGAGAAGCUAAUGUGAAAUUUUUGUGGUUUACGAAAUGUGGCGUUGGAAAACACGUUUGAGAAAGAAAAUGAUUUUCUACUUGACUUGGAUUCCUCAAAAAGGUUUUCUAAAAUCUUUAAUCGCUAAGUAUUUGACUUACAUGUUUAAGUUUCCCCCUCCCCAGGUGAUUUAGCACUGAGACCAAGUAAGGAAAGGAAAGAUGGGUUGUGAUGCGGGAAAUUAAAGCUGAUCAAGUUAUCCUCUUUGGAUGGUUUAAAGUUAUUACGUUUGGAGAGGGUUGCAUCUCAGUUUUGUGUGUGGGUUGAGUCUUGUCUUUGAGAUAUGUUGCUAGGCAAUCAUGGAGAAUGAUAAGAAAGGGAUUCUUAUACUCAUAAACACCUUGACACGAAGAAUAACAUCUCAAUGGAUGAAGGAAAUGUAAUAUUAUAAAGUGUUGGAUUAAGUAAUAAAAUCAAAGUUGUGUUUUAUA